AGAGUUUGAUCAUGGCUCAGAACGAACGCUGGCGGCGUGGCUAAGACAUGCAAGUCGAACGGACUGUUCAAUUUAUUGUUCAGUUAGUGGCGAAAGGGUUAGUAACGGGUAGGUAACGUACCCUGUGCUUUGGGAUAGCGUCAGUAACUUCGGUUACUUUCCGAAAGGGGCGGUAAUACCAAAUAAUAUCAUUUGUCGAUAGGCAGAUGAUCAAAGAUUUAUCGGCGCAGGAGCGGCCUGCCUCCUAUCAGCUUGUUGGUGAGGUAAUGGCUCACCAAGGCAUCGACGGGUAGCGGGACUGAGAGGUUGGCCCGCAACAUCGGGACUGAGACACUGCCCGGACCUCCACGGAGGGCUGCAGUAACGAAUAUUGUGCAAUGGGCGAAAGCCUGACACAGCGACGCCGCGUGUAGGAAGAAGUCCUUCGGGAUGUAAACUACUGUCAGGGGGAAGAAAGUGCGCUUCGGCGCAUUGAUCUAACCCAGAGGAAGUCACGGCUAACUUCGUGCCAGCAGCCGCGGUAAGACGAAGGUGGCAAGCGUUGUUCGGUAUUACUGGGCUUAAAGCGUGUGUAGGCGGAAAAUUAAGCGUUGUGUGAAAUCCCCCGGCUUAACCGGGGAACUGCAUAACGAACUGGUUUUCUUGAGGCAAGUAGGGGUGCAUGGAACUCUUGGUGGAGCGGUGGAAUGCGUAGAUAUCAAGAGGAACGCCAGUGGAGAAAUCGGUGCACUGGGCUUGUCCUGACGCUGAGACACGAAAGCGUGGGUAGCGAACGGGAUUAGAUACCCCGGUAGUCCACGCCGUAAACGAUGCCUACUAG
rnacentral:rRNA from 1 species